rnacentral:rRNA from 1 species
UACGAAGGGGGCUAGCGUUGCUCGGAAUCACUGGGCGUAAAGCGCACGUAGGCGGCUUUCUAAGUCAGGGGUGAAAUCCUGGAGCUCAACUCCAGAACUGCCUUUGAUACUGGAGAGCUCGAGUCCGGAAGAGGUGAGUGGAACUCCGAGUGUAGAGGUGAAAUUCGUAGAUAUUCGGAAGAACCCCAGUGGCGAAGGCGGCUCACUGGUCCGGUACUGACGCUGAUGUGCGAAGGCGUGGGGAGCAAACAGG